GCAUAGUUCAGUUGGUAGAGCACAAGACUCUUAAUCCUGGGGUCAUAAGUUCGAGCCCCACAUUGGGCCA